GUAGGUGGCAAGCGUUGUCCGGAAUUAUUGGGCGUAAAGCGCGCGCAGGCGGUUCUUUAAGUCUGAUGUGAAAGCCCACGGCUCAACCGUGGAGGGUCAUUGGAAACUGGAGAACUUGAGUACAGAAGAGGAAAGCGGAAUUCCACGUGUAGCGGUGAAACGCGUAGAGAUGUGGAGGAACACCAGUGGCGAAGGCGGCUUCCUGGUCUGUAACUGACGCUGGGGCGCGAAAGCGUGGGGAGCAAACAGGGAUUAGAUACCCUGGUAGUCCACGCCGUAAACGAUGAGUGCUAAGUGUUAGGGGGUUUCCCGCCCCUUAGUGCUGCAGCUAACGCAUUAAGCACUCCGCCUGGGGAGUACGGCCGCAAGGCUG
rnacentral:rRNA from 1 species